rnacentral:rRNA from 1 species
GUGCCAGCAGCCGCGGUAAGACGUAGGGUCCAAGCGUUGUCCGGAUUUACUGGGCGUAAAGAGCGCGUAGGCGGUCUGUUAAGUGUGAAGUGAAAUCUCCAGGGCUCAACCCGGAAACUGCUUCGCAUACUGGCAGACUUGAGGAAUGCAGAGGUUUGUGGAAUUCCCGGUGUAACGGUGAAAUGUGUUGAUAUCGGGAGGAACACCCAUGGCGAAGGCAGCAAACUGGGCAUUAUCUGACGCUGAGGCGCGAAAGCGUGGGUAGCAAACAGGAUUAGAAACCCUGGUAGUCC